CAAGCGCGGCGUACCAUGCAGUCGAGCGGUAACACAGGUAGCUUGCUCCUGGGUGACGAGCGGCGGACGGGUGAGUAAUGUCUGGGAAACUGCCUGAUGGAGGGGGAUAACUACUGGAAACGGUAGCUAAUACCGCAUAACGUCGCAAGACCAAAGAGGGGGACCUUCGGGCCUCUUGCCAUCAGAUGUGCCCAGAUGGGAUUAGCUAGUAGGUGGGGUAAUGGCUCACCUAGGCGACGAUCCCUAGCUGGUCUGAGAGGAUGACCAGCCACACUGGAACUGAGACACGGUCCAGACUCCUACGGGAGGCAGCAGUGGGGAAUAUUGCACAAUGGGCGCAAGCCUGAUGCAGCCAUGCCGCGUGUAUGAAGAAGGCCUUCGGGUUGUAAAGUACUUUCAGCGAGGAGGAAGGCAUCAAGGUUAAUAACCUUGGUGAUUGACGUUACUCGCAGAAGAAGCACCGGCUAACUCCGUGCCAGCAGCCGCGGUAAUACGGAGGGUGCAAGCGUUAAUCGGAAUUACUGGGCGUAAAGCGCACGCAGGCGGUCUGUCAAGUCGGAUGUGAAAUCCCCGGGCUCAACCUGGGAACUGCAUUCGAAACUGGCAGGCUAGAGUCUUGUAGAGGGGGGUAGAAUUCCAGGUGUAGCGGUGAAAUGCGUAGAGAUCUGGAGGAAUACCGGUGGCGAAAGCGGCCCCCUGGACAAAGACUGACGCUCACGUGCGAAAGCGUGGGGAGCAAACAGGAUUAGAUACCCUGGUAGUCCACGCCGUAAACGAUGUCGACUUGGAGGCUGUUCCCUUGAGGAGUGGCUUCCGGAGCUAACGCGUUAAGUCGACCGCCUGGGGAGUACGGCCGCAAGGUUAAAACUCAAUGAAUUGACCGGGGGGCCCGCACCAAGCGGUGGGAGCAUGUGGGUUUAAAUUCGAUGCACGCCGCAGGAACCUUAUCCUACUUCUCUGACAUCUACAGAACCUUUUCCAGAGAUGCGUUUUGUGGUCCUUCUCGGAACUCCUGAAAACAAGUGCUUGCAUGGGCUGUCGUCAGCUCCUGGUUGGUGGAAAUGGUGAGGUUAAAUUCCGCAACGAGCGCUAUCCUAUCAUGGUGCCAGCGGUUCGGCCGGAACUCGAAGAGAACUGUCAUGGAUAACCUCGGAGGAAAAGUGGGGGGAU
rnacentral:rRNA from 1 species